UUUUUUUGAGAGAGAGCCAGAGUGGCAGAGAGGGGCAGAGGGAGGGAGAGAGAACCUUAAGCAGGCUCCAGCACGGAGCGGGAGGUGGGGCUCGAUCUCCCGUCCCGAGUGAGGAAGGAAGGAACCACCAAGGAAGCUGAGAGACAGGCAGCCACCGUUCUAGAACAUUCUGCCUUCCUUUUCACCCAAACAAAGCUGGCCUUAUUGUCUUUCUGUCUGAGGGAAACAAAUUUCGAGGGCACAUUCAGGGCCAGCCCAGAGACGAACAGGUGUGAUCAUGACGGUCAUUCUCCCAGUAUCCUUGACAGGUGGAGGCCCACGUUCCUUCUACACACAUUUCCCGAGCACCUACUGUGUGUCCGGCCCUGUUUCCGAGGGCUGCGGGGGACAGAGAGGGAACCAGAGCAACCCCGUCCCUUCCUUCCUUCAUGGAGCUGUGUCUGAGACCGAGAGACCGGGUCUGAAUGAUCCCGAGAGCGACUCGCUUGGAGGCACAGAAUUGGGACAGAGGGAGAGACUCUGCUGGAUACAGACGCGUCUCUUGAGCCUGCGCCCAUGCCCACACAAGGGCCGCCUUGGACCAAAGUCAGAUGAUGCCCUACUGGCUGCGUUUUUGUGUUUUUUUUUUUGUUGUUUUUUUUUUUGUUUUUUUUUUUUAAUAAAGACAUCAUUGCUAUUGGAUUACGGCCCACCUUAGGAUGACCUCAUUGUAACUCGGUCACUUCUGUAAAGACCCUGUGUCCACAUAAGGUCCAUAUUCUGCAGUAUCAGGAGUUAGGAUUCUAAUACGCCUUUUGGAGACAGACACAACCCAACGCAUGGCACACAAGGUCUAUGGGUUGAGUGGGCAAAAAUGUACUACCUCCAUACGGUCUACCCCUUGACUGCCAUCACACGUAUGCUUCAUCUCAUACCUUCAACUCCAUUAAAAAAAAAAAAUCAGGGGUGCCUGGGUGGCUCAACUGACUAAGCGUGGGACUCUUGAUUUCGGCUCAGGUCAUGAUCUCACGGGUUUGAGCACCCUGUCAGGUGCUGCCCUCACAGCGUGGAGCCUGCUUGGGAUUCUCUCUCACCCUCUCUCUCUGCCCCUCUCCUGCUCGCUCUCACUCUCUCUCUGUCUCUUAAAAUAAAUAAACACUAAAAAAACAAAAAACAAAAAACCAGAAAUGGGGGCGCCUGGGCGGCUCAGUUGGUUGAGCGUCCGACUUCGGCUCAGGUCAUGAUCUCACAGUCCGCAAGUUUGAGCCCCGCGUCGGGCUCUGUGCUGACGGCUCAGAGCCUGGAGCCUGUUUCGGAUUCUGUGUCUCCCUCUCUCUCUGCCCCUCCCCUGCUCAUGCUCUGUCUCUCUCUGUCUCAAAAACAAACAUUAAAAAAAAUUUUUUUUCACCCAGAAAUAAAAAAAAAUCAAACAUUAACCAGGGCAAGUAGAAUCACACACACUCACCCACUCCUCAGAGGGACAGCCCCCACGGUCAGCUCAAGCCACCGUAUCUACAUCUGAUGGUAUGAGGUCACCCUAGCUCUUCCCAGAAUUCACAACCUCUGGACGAAAUUCAUUCCUCUUGUAGGUCUGUUCCCAUCUCAGCCGCACAGAGCAGGGCUCUUUGCUUUGAAUGUGAUCAUCUUUCAAAAACUGUUUAAAUCAGUUUAUGUAUUUAUUUUGAGAGAGAUGGAAACAGCAUGAGCAGGGGGGGAGGGGCAGAGAGAGAAUCCCAAGCAGCCUCUGCACCGUCCGCACAGAGCCCGACGUGGGGCUCGAACUCCCGAAAACCGUGAGAUGGUGACCUGAGCUGAAAUUAAGAGUUGGAUGCUUAACCGACUGAGCCACCCAGGCGCCCCCUGUAUGUGAUAAGAUCAAAAGGUACUGUUUUAAUGGUCAGAAAGGUGAAGUUGCUUCCCAGAGUCACACAGCUAAUGAGCGUGGGAGCCUGCCGUCAACAGCCUGUGAUCAGAGUGUGUCCACUGAGUCAUGCGUCCUUUCUGUCACUGUGUGAAGCCUAGUCCGUGUUGGGCUUAGGGAACAGAGGCUUUAUUUACACUCGGUGGCGAUGAGGAAGGGGCCUGAUCCAGAACUUUUGAGCAGUAAGACUGAGCAUCUGCGGAGCUGUGCAAUGAACCUUAGUCAGUAAACCCAGCCUCCCUGGCUCCUUGCCUUUCAAGUCAAAGGGGGCCAGAGGAGAUUGUAUCAUCCAGGAGUCCAUUUCUGGCUAGACUCAACAUCCGGUGACCCAAGGGGCCCAGACAGACCCCCACCUGAGUUGGCUCAACCCAAAUCCAGGCAUCUAGUUGGCAAGCCUGACUUUCUUCUAGAAAGAUAAUGCGUAUGGGGUGCCUGGGUGGCUCAGUCGGUUAAGCGUCCAACUUCAGCAAAGGUCAUGAUCUCACAGUCUGUGAGUUCGAGCUCCGCGUUGGGCUCCGUGCCAACAGCUCAGAGCCUGGAGCCUGCUUCGGAUUCUGUGUCUCCCCCUCUCUCUGCCCCUCCCCUGCUCAUGCUCUGUCUCGCUCUGUCUCAAAAAUAAAUAAAAACAUUAAAAAAGAGAGAAAGAUAAUGCAUAUCAUCUUCAUGGGCUAUGAGGGUAGCAGCGAUUAAGAAGCAGGGAUAUUGCUACAUUAGGUCCAGUGCCAACUUUUAUCAGCUAUAUACAGUUAACCAUAAAGGGCCAUAUCUACAUAGCUUCUGGCACCUUCCCAGUUUCAACCACGUCACACCCUGCUUGAUUUCCCCCCAGUGUUCUCUUCUUAAUGGCCACUUGCUUCAGUACUUUGACCAAGGAACACAAACCGUGGACCCAAUCAACCAGAAACCUUUCGUAUCUAAUCUACCUUUGUGCAGAGUCUCCAGGAUAUGCUCUGAUGAAAGCCUGCUCAUGAGGAAGAGUUUUAAAAAGAGUGGGUGGGAACCUCAUAUUCACAGGGGAGGGAGAAGGAAGUCUCUGGGAGAGCUGGGGGACCAGAAGGCGCUUCAUUCCUUUGACUCCGCCCAUAUAUCCCCAUUCCCGUGAUUCCAAGCCCAAAGUUGAUCAGUGAGCAAACCUGGACUUCCACUGUGGCAACAGGCUGCAGGUGUGGUUCCAGCUGGACUGCAGAAUGGCAAAGCCCAUCGAUCGCUUCUAGAGGCAAUCUUCAGCGACAACAAAGCGUUAACCGUGAUAAUCCGGAGCAAAGCUUGUUCUGCUCUUCCUUCCUGGCUUCCAGUCAUAAUGGGGAGUCAGAACCAGUUCACUCCCUGCUUUCCUUUCCUUUCAGCUGUUUUGCUUACGCUCCAUAACCGUAUCUCCAAGCCCCUGUCCCGUCUGGGCCUUAUUUUAGCUCUAGGGGGUCCCAGGCCAAGAGCCUGAUUAACCGCUUCCCUCUUCGAACCACGGCAUGCCUCCAUAACGAAACUUCCAUAAAACCCCUAACCAAUGGGUUUCGGAGAGGCUCUGAGUUUGGCAGGCCCACCCAAGAGCCAGGAAGGCGGCCCACCUCACCUCCAUGGGGACGGCAGAAGGCCCUUCCGGAUCUUACCUUAUGUACUUCUUCUCCGGUUAUGCGUUCGUGUCCUUUAUAAUCAGAUGAGUUCUGAGUUCUGUGAGCCAUUUUGGCACAUUAUCAAACCUGAGGAGGGAGUCGUGGGCACCCCCAGUUCAAAAGUGAUCAGUCAGAGAUACGAACGGCUCAGGACUUGGCGUCAGUAUAUGAAAUGAGACGGAACUCUUAAACCCAUUGGAUCGGAUUCCAAGUCCAGGAAGGCAACGUCAAAAUGGAACUGAAUUGUUGAACACCCAGUCGGUGUGAGGGGAGAAAAAACAAACACUCACCUGCCAACUGCCUUCUGACCGUCAGGUAAAAAUAUUCAAGACAGAGAGUUGGCCAACUUAUCUUUUUAUUUAUUUAUUUAUUUAUUUUUUGGGGGGGGAGAGUUUAUGAGCAGGGGAGGGGCAGAGAAAAAAUCCCAAGUAGGCUCCACACCGUCAGCCCAGAGCCCGAUGAGGGGGCUCAAAC